AAGGGUAUAGCUCAGUUGGUAGAGCAAAUGUCUUCAACACAUUGUUGCGGUAGUUCGAGUCUACCUGCCCUUG
rnacentral:tRNA from 1 species